rnacentral:lncRNA from 13 species
AAUAUAUUGUCCAAAUCUUGUACCNNNNNNNNNNAACCCCUCUCUAUUCAUGAAGUUGUUUUUAUACAGGUCCAGGUUCUAGAUGGUAGGCAUAUUUUCUGUACAUCAGACUAGAGACUGAGCCAAACUAGAAUAUUAGCACAGAGUAAAGGAACAGUGUUAUAGGAGACAUGAAGAAAGUUCCUGCUCUUUUGUAUGUCUGCAGCUGUUCUCUGUGAGUUCAUCUCGUCUCUUAUUAAAAGAGCUCCUGGUUGACUUCACGACAGGACCAAAACACAACACCGGCUUGUUCAUGUUACAACCAACGGAGCGAAAAGGAGGUGUCUGAAUGCAUGUAGAUAGAGAAUCAUCACGUUAUUAUUGUACUUUUAGAAAUAAGGGACUUGUACACUGCCUGUUUAAAAUGGACAGUGUUUUGCGUUAAAACUGUACUGUGAACCUUUCACUGGCUUCUGUUUCCAUGUCUACCUAUAGAUUUUAUUCUCCAUUACAGAGACAUUCAAAACAUUUGUUUAAACGUUAUUUUGCUAAAUAUCCUUGAUGCUGAUGCACUGACAAUUGCUGAAAAAAGUAGCCAAAAUGCUGCCAGAAUUUUACUCAUUUAAUUUUACUUUUUUUUUUGUUGUCUUUGUAUGUAAAUGAAUGUUAUUGAACCACACACUUUCAAGUAGGAGCAUCUGUAUAGGUACAGGCUUUGCUGUAAAAUGUGCUUUCAUAAACUCUCCUCAGUAACUUGAGCUGUUAAAAUGAGAGCAUUAAACUGUUUCACCAAUNNNNNNNNNNNNUGAUAUUGGCUGGCCCAGGUGAUAUUGGCUGACCCAGGUGAUAUUGGCUGGCCCAGGUGAUAUUGGCUGGCCCAGGUGAUAUUGGCUGGCCCAGGUGAUAUUGGUUGGCCCAGGUGAUAUUGGGAGAUGGAGGGAAAACACCUUUCGUUGACUCUCUCGGUUUGAUUUCUUUUUUAAUUAAAAGAUCAUCCUUUAUCUGGUCUCUCCUGUUUUCAUAUUGGUUUGCUUCCUGUCUUUAAGUUUGGUGUGGAUUUUAUUUUGUUUGCCUCUUCUUGGACAAAUGUAGUUGGUGCUCCUGGUGGGUGACUUUUAAAAACCAGGAGGACUAGCAAAUAGAAAA